UACGUAGGGGGCAAGCGUUGUCCGGAAUCAUUGGGCGUAAAGCGCGUGUAGGCGGCCUUGUAAGUCCGUUCUGAAAGCCCGGGGCUCAACCCCGGGAGGCGGAUGGAUACUGCAAGGCUCGAGUACGGAAGAGGCGAGUGGAAUUCCCGGUGUAGCGGUGAAAUGCGCAGAUAUCGGGAGGAACACCAAUGGCGAAGGCAGCACUCUGGGACGGUACUGACGCUGAGACGCGAAAGCGUGGGGAGCGAACAGG
rnacentral:rRNA from 1 species